GGAGGUUUUGCAGACUGUGUUUGCUGGUUAUCUUUUUUACCACGGGGGUUCAAGAUAUUCUACAUGUAAUAUGGGCUGGGUUUACUCUUCCAAUUCCACUAAACCAUCAGAAGAUCCAUACAGUGCUGUGGACAGAAUGGUAAUUAUACACCACUUGCUGGUUCAGGAAACUGAGCACAAAGUACUGACAUUUGCAUAACCUGCUAGACAAUUGGUCCAUGCAGUAUCUGAAUGCUUCAUAACAUUAAGAUAUUUAUCUUCAAGACAACUUCCCUCUGGAGAUCAGUAGCCCUCACAUCCUCAUCUUUCUGGAAGGACAUGUCUACUUUCUCCCACUGGCUUUGUAAGAAUAUGGCAGUGCAUGAGCAAGGUGAAUUUUAUCUGCAGCUGAGAAGAUCAUGCCCAGGUGACAGCAGUGCUAGACCUACUGCAGCUCAGCAAGUUGCCCCUGACUGACUGAUCUGCAGUGAAGUGUUGAACCCCUCUUCUUCAUUUACUGGAAAUCAUUUCCUAGUCUAGACUUGGAAACCAGCAGCAGAAUUUGCAUGGAAGAUAUCUGCUGCCCAACUUGUGCAGAAACUUUGCUCCUUAAAAUGUUUUUUUUGUUUUUUUUUUUUUUUUUUAAAAUGUGAGAGUGAACCUUGUGUCAAAAUAAUGAGCUUCAUGCAUUCAAAUUAGAGCUUGAGUGUUAAUUAGGUCACUCUUACUAAAAUGAUUUAUUGAAUUAUAUUUGGUAUUAGCAGCCCUAAGUUUUCCUCCAUGGAGAGUCAGUGAAAAUCACCUUCAUCAAUCUUCAAGACUUUAUUAAACUUAUUUUUUCCCUCUAUUUUUUUUAAUUUAUUAAAUAAUCUACUCUGAGAGACUGAUUGAGUAGUUCUUCAAGACAUUGAGAAGCCUCAUAAGAAAAAACAAAUCUUAAUUUUUAGGUUUUUAAGGCAGAUUAAUAAAAAUAUGCUUUAGGAGCCUAAUUAACUAUUU
rnacentral:lncRNA from 1 species